GGGAUUGCCUCAGUAACGGCGAGUGAAGCGGCAACAGCUCAAAUUUGAAAUCUGGCUCCUUCGGGGUCCGAAUUGUAAUUUGUAGAGAGUGCUUCGGGCGAGACCUCGGUCUAAGUCCAUUGGAACAUGGUGUCAUAGAGGGUGAGAAUCCCGUAUGCGACCGUGGCUCGAGCCCAUGUGAAGCCUCUUCGACGAGUCGAGUUGUUUGGGAAUGCAGCUCAAAAUGGGUGGUAAAUUUCAUCUAAAGCUAAAUACUGGCUGGAGACCGAUAGCGCACAAGUAGAGUGAUCGAAAGAUGAAAAGCACUUUGGAAAGAGAGUCAAACAGUACGUGAAAUUGUUGAAAGGGAAGCGCUUGCAACCAGACCUGCCCGUAGGCGAUCAGCCGCUGUUCUCAGCGGUGUACUCGCUCUGCGAUCAGGCCAGCAUCGGUUUCGGCGGUCGGAUAAAGGCCUUGGGAAUGUAGCUUCCCUUCGGGGGAGUCUUAUAGCCCUCGGUGUAAUGCGGCCAGCUGGGACCGAGGACCGCGCUUCGGCUAGGAUGCUGGCGUAAUGGUUGUAAGCGACCCGUCUUGAAACACGGACCAAGGAGUCUAACAUCUAUGCGAGUGUUUGGGUGUCAAACCCAUACGCGGAAUGAAAGUGAACGGAGGUGAGAACCCUUAAGGGCGCAUCAUCGACCGAUCCAGAUGUCUUCGGAUGGAUUUGAGUAUGAGCAUAGCUGUUGGGACCCGAAAGAUGGUGAACUAUGCCUGAAUAGGGUGAAGCCAGAGGAAACUCUGGUGGAGGCUCGCAGCGGUUCUGACGUGCAAAUCGAUCGUCAAAUUUGGGUAUAGGGGCGAAAGACUAAUCG
rnacentral:rRNA from 1 species